GCUUGUUUUCAUCCAGAGGGAGUCGAGACAGAGAGACGCUGCGUGUUGGGUGAAAGACGAGCUCUCGGCUGAGAAACAACCUGUCCUCAGUCACACUCACACCAUCGCGUGGUCAAACACGACCCAACGACAAAUCUGAGCAACAAAUCCACAUGUUGAUGGAAGAUGUGUGAUCAUGAAGUCAUGAGUGUUCUUCAUCGCAGGAGUCGUCCAGCUUCGCUGAUCCCAGGUCUGUACACAGUGACACACAGAUACGAUAAAAGAAGAAGAAGAAGAAGAAACACGACCUGAAUCAAACAUCGUCUCAUGUUAAAUGAUCCAGUGACGUCGCUUCACUUGUAUGUGACCUGACUUUGACCCACAGGAGCCACGACGCAGCUCAUAUUCUUCUUAUUCUAACAAAAACAAACGUAAGGUGACAUUAAAUUCUGUCAACUGCAGUUUUUGAAGACGGAAAUUCAGUUUGAUCCAGAAAUAAAAUAUUCUUUUAUAUACGAUAUGAGAUAGAUGUAUAACAAGACAUAAUGUUCAUCCGCUAAGGAUGAUAUUAAUGAGUGUGUGUAAUUUCACAGUUCACUACAUGCUCUAGUUUC